rnacentral:sRNA from 1 species
UUGAUAGUCCUGCUGAGUGACAUUUUGUAUUUGUCAACAGAAAAGUUACUAUAUGGGCAGGAACAGUGCAAACUUCCCACACUGCCCUGUCAAUACACCUCAGCCCUGAUCUGGAGUUACCAAAUCCAUCUGAAUAGCUAUUCAAUAUUUGGCCCCU